UUCUCAGUUAGCCCAAUGGUAGAGUUACCGGCUGUUAAUCGGUAGGUUGUAGGUUCGAAUCCUCUCGGGGAGCC
rnacentral:tRNA from 1 species